GACGAACGCUGGCGGCGUGCUUAACACAUGCAAGUCGAACGGAAAGGCCCUGCUUUUGUGGGGUUCUCGAGUGGCGAACGCGUGAGUAACACGUGAGUAACCUGCCCUUGACUUUGGUAUAACUUCAGGAAACUGGGGCUAAUACCGGAUCGGAGCUCCUGCUGCAUGGUGGGGGUUGGAACGUUUCGGCGGUUGGGGAUGGACUCGCGGCUUAUCAGCUUGUUGGUGGGGUGGUGGCUUACCAAGGCUUUGACGGGUAGACGGCCUGAGGGGGUGACAGGCGACAUAGGGACUGAGAGACGGCCGAGAUGCCGAAGGGAGGAAGAAGGGGGGAAGAUUGAACAAGGGGCAGAAGCCGGAUGCAGCAACGCCGCGUGCGGGAUAACGGCCUUCGGGUGGUAAACAGCUUUCGCCUGUGAAGAAGGGUGAGUGAAGGUAAUGGGUAAAGAAGCAACGGCUAAAUACGGG
rnacentral:rRNA from 1 species